AUACGAAGGGGGCUAGCGUUGUUCGGAAUCACUGGGCGUAAAGCGCUCGUAGGUGGCUUUGUAAGUCAGGUGUGAAAGCCCACGGCUCAACCGUGGAAUUGCACUUGAUACUGGGUGUCUAGAGUGUGGAAGAGGUAAGUGGAAUUCCGAGUGUAGAGGUGAAAUUCGUAGAUAUUCGGAGGAACACCAGUGGCGAAGGCGGCUUACUGGUCCAUUACUGACGCUGAGGUGCGAAAGCGUGGGGAGC
rnacentral:rRNA from 1 species